GCGGGCGCAUGUUGGUGACGUCAGUCUGCAGCGAUGAAACUCCUUUCCUUUCGAAAAGGAAGAUUCUGUGUUUCCUAUGCAAAAUGAACUAAGAAAGGAAGCAUUGAAGCUCCUUUCCUUUGCAUUUAGAAAAUUCGAACAGCUCUUAUGGUGAUCGGCUUAGAUACUUCCGGGUCAUUUCACUCAGCAAUCUUCCGAAGCAAAAGGGACUAUUUGACUGCAGCCUCGGGUCCAAUCCCAAUCUGCACGGACUCUGAGGUGGCGUUGGCAGUCAACCCUGCUGUAAUUAACUUGCUGCGGUCAAACCGAACACUCAUGACGGGGUACUCUUGAGAAAGAUAUGGAGUAAGACGAUAAUUUCAGUGCUCCUGCAGAACUGACAAUAUUUUUUACUAAAAAACAGCUACUAUUGUAGGAAUACCAGCCUCAAAGCUCACCGAGGACAACUCAACAAGGCCAAAGGAUGAUUUAUGCAAGCUACAUUGUUUUGAAUGGCGGUAGCUCAUUGCGGCCUACAAGAACCACUAGGCAGAGCCCACCUGGUGACCUGGACCAACCCUCUUCCACCUGCAGUGAAAGUGCAGGUUUUAAUCUUAUGAAUGGCGUAAGGGCUGGAGUCUGAAUGCGGCCAAAUGUCUCCGUUGGGCAGAUCCCUCGUCUGU